rnacentral:rRNA from 1 species
GACGAACGCUGGCGGCGUGCCUAAUACAUGCAAGUAGAACGCUGAAGGAGGAGCUUGCUUCUCUGGAUGAGUUGCGAACGGGUGAGUAACGCGUAGGUAACCUGCCUGGUAGCGGGGGAUAACUAUUGGAAACGAUAGCUAAUACCACAUAAGAGUAGAUGUUGCAUGACAUUUGCUUAAAAGGUGCAAUUGCAUCACUACCAGAUGGACCUGCGUUGUAUUAGCUAGUUGGUGGGGUAACGGCUCACCAAGGCGACGAUACAUAGCCGACCUGAGAGGGUGAUCGGCCACACUGGGACUGAGACACGGCCCAGACUCCUACGGGAGGCAGCAGUAGGGAAUCUUCGGCAAUGGACGGAAGUCUGACCGAGCAACGCCGCGUGAGUGAAGAAGGUUUUCGGAUCGUAAAGCUCUGUUGUAAGAGAAGAACGAGUGUGAGAGUGGAAAGUUCACACUGUGACGGUAUCUUACCAGAAAGGGACGGCUAACUACGUG